rnacentral:rRNA from 1 species
AGAGUUUGAUUAUGGCUCAGGAUGAACGCUAGCUACAGGCUUAACACAUGCAAGUCGAGGGGCAGCAUAACGAAAGCUUGCUUUGUGAUGGCGACCGGCGCACGGGUGAGUAACGCGUAUCCAACCUUCCCGCGAGUAGGGAACAGCCCGGCGAAAGUCGGAUUAAUGCCCUAUGUUCUCCGAUGACGGCAUCAGAGUUGGAGUAAAGAUUUAUCGCUUGCGGAUGGGGAUGCGUCUGAUUAGCUUGUUGGCGGGGUAACGGCCCACCAAGGCGACGAUCAGUAGGGGUUCUGAGAGGAAGGUCCCCCACAUUGGAACUGAGACACGGUCCAAACUCCUACGGGAGGCAGCAGUGAGGAAUAUUGGUCAAUGGGCGGAAGCCUGAACCAGCCCAAGUAGCGUGAGGGAUGACUGCCCUAUGGGUUGUAAACCUCUUUUGUUCGGGAAUAAAGUUCGGGACGUGUCCCGUUUUGUAUGUACCGUUCGAAUAAGGACCGGCUAAUUCCGUGCCAGCCGCAGC